UUAUAUUUUCCCACCAUUUCAGAUACAAACUGCGUCCUCUCAGCAGACCCCAUUUGACAAAGCGGCCGAGGCGUCGCUCAGCUGCGUCCGGCGAGACAUCGACACGGCCAGCACUGGUCCCCCUUGGUCACCCUGCAAAGCUACACACACACACACACACACACACGUCGAAAAAAGAGCACGGGUGAAUCGGCGUGAUCAGGACAUAACUCUCUCUCUCUCUCUCUCUCUCUCUCUUAACCCCCAUGACGGUGCAGUAGCCACAGACAGCCGCACAGCCUCUCGGCCGCCGUGACCACCACCAACAGACUGAGCCACGAAUACCGGGCGUGAUUCGGAGCCCCGCGACACUUUGAAGCUUCGUUCACAACUAAGCCUCGAGCCGCCGGGAAGCAGGGUAUGAAGAGGGCUGGUUUAGUCUUUCUCAUGUAGUGACGGUGGACGGAGUGGCUGCGAACAAGUGAGCACAAGCUUAUCUACGGAAGACCUUACGACUAGAUACAUAUGCUGUGUCACCACUGAGGGCCCAGCCAGCACCAGGGUAGCGGCGGUGAUGGUGAGUGUUAUAUCCUUCUCUGUAUAGUGAUGGUGAGGGUGAUGACGGGGCCAGCGUUAUGAAGGGUGCUGUUACCAUUGAUUGUAUGCUUUGGAGUGUGGGGGAAGAAUGUGGAGGAAGAAUGUGGAGGGCAGGAACUGAGGGCAUUGGCGAGAGGGUGGUGGAUGAGGGGACGCUUUCAAAACCAAUAUUUCUCCUGGUGACCGAAAAAAUAGAAAUAGUGGUAGAGAUGGUGUAGCUGUAUUGGUAGUAGUAAUAGUUGUAGUACUAGUAGUAGUAGUAGUAGUAGUUUGGUAUAGAUAGUACCGUAGUUGUAGUAGUCGGGAAAGUUAUGAUAGUACUGGUAGGGACUGACUCUUAAAAUACAGCCACACUCUUCCACCACCAGAUAACGUAAGACCAAACGGGGCAAUCACAACGGGAAUGAAAAAUACACUGAGAAACGAGGAGGGAGGGAGGGAGGGAGGGAAGGGGAACUAAAAUGAAUACAAAAAAGAGAAACGGCCCCAGGAAAAAGUAGUGGAAACAGUAAUGGAUUUGUUAUAGGAGGAAAAGAAUGGGAGGGGGUCGGAGUUCAGAGCGAGGGAAGGGUAUGAGUAGUAUUAACAUGUGGCGUAGUGGGUCAGUGAUGGCAAUGGACGUCCAGGCAAAGGUAAUGGUAGCAAUUGAAGAGUGAAGUGACCAUUGCAGCGUGAAAUUAAAGGUGGAGAGAGGAGAGUGCACCUUCAGUAUAUGAGAGAGAGAGAGAGAGAGAGAGAGAGAGAGAGAGAGAGAGAGAGAGAGAGAGAGAGAGAGAGAGAGAGAGA